rnacentral:rRNA from 1 species
GACGAACGCUGGCGGCGUGCUUAACACAUGCAAGUCGAACGCUGAACCCGCUUCGGUGGGGGAUGAGUGGCGAACGGGUGAGUAACACGUGGGCAACCUGCCCCCGGCUCUGGGAUAACUCCAAGAAAUUGGGGCUAAUACCGGAUGUGACCGCUGGCCGCAUGGUCUGGUGGUGGAAAGGGUUUCCGGCUGGGGAUGGGCCCGCGGCCUAUCAGCUUGUUGGUGGGGUAGUGGCCUACCAAGGCGACGACGGGUAGCCGGCCUGGGAGGGUGACCGGCCACACUGGACUGAGACACGGCCCAGACGCCUACGGGAGGCAGCAGUGGGGAAUAUUGCGCAAUGGGCGGAAGCCUGACGCAGCGACGCCGCGUGGGGGAUGACGGCCUUCGGGUUGUAAACCUCUUUCAGCAGGGACGAAGCGCAAGUGACGGUACCUGCAGAAGAAGCACCGGCCAACUACGUG